GAGACAGCUGACAGUGUGCUUCUGCUUGCAUAUACUAAACUACAACCUGAACUGGCUGGAAUACGCUAGGGAAGAAGCUUCAAAUAAAAUCCAAUGUCCAGUGGACCACCAUAGAUUUCACUACAGAGAUGCCAAUUGCAGAAUUGCUUGGAGUGCAUUUUGACAUGCAGCUCCUUGGCAAACUGACUCUAUCUGUGGCCACCAUUCUAUUUGUCGCCUUGGUUUUCAGAUUCUACAACUCCAGGGCACGAAACAGACGGCGAGGACGUGAAAGAAGGGGUGUGCAAGCAACCCAAACAAGCUACAGCGCUUACAAUACUGUGCAAGAACCACAGAGUGAAGCUGCAAAGGAGGAGUCUGACAGGGAAAAUCGUUUUCAUCAAUCUUCAGAGAAACCCUUGCAAGAAAGCCUUAAAAAUGAAAAUUCUGCCUUGAAAAGGGGUCAGCCUGAAACUAUGGACUUUUAUGCAAAGGAGGAACCUGCAAGUAAAAGCGACGCAAUUGAGGAUACAACUGAGGCGAAGAGUGGCAAACCAAAGUUGACCUUACAACUUCCGGGUGUGACCGAAAAAGGUCCAGGAAGUCCAAGUGGUCGCCGAUCCCCAGUCCUAAUGAAGAAGCUGGAAGGUGGCACGGGUGUUGGCAGGCAGCUGAUACAAGACGUCGGUCACCAGGGCAUGUUCUCAAGUUUUCAGUCAAAGGCAGAAAUCAAAGUUGAGAAUGCUGACCUUAUCUUGGAUGGGCCAGGGAAUUGUAGAACGGGCGUCCAUGGAAAAAUAUAUGAGUACUACGUAGAGUCCUCUUCUCAUUUCAUCUCAGAUUUAAGCCCCACCCCGUCCGUCAGUCCAGUUUAUGGUCAAAACGAAAACAGCACUUUGUUUAAAUCGCAAUCAUUGGAUUUACCCAGUUUUAAGGACCGCUCCCGAUCGCCAAGUCCACAGCCUUCUAGUUUCAUAAUGCGAGAUCUCGAAAUUGCUCCACGAAUUGCUAACGAGCCUCCCUCAACAUUCAAGCCGACUGUGAGGUACAGCAGGCAAGUAGUCAUCCGUCAGGACAGCUAUCUUACUGCUGCCAGUGACUCAGAGCUUCCAAUCCCCUUGCCUACACAUAGGGCUAUAACACCUCGCAGCUGUUCUCCAGCACAACCCAAUGACAUCCC
rnacentral:lncRNA from 1 species